rnacentral:rRNA from 1 species
CGCUGGCGGCGUGCCUAACACAUGCAAGUCGUGCGAGAAAGUUCCUUCGGGAGCGAGUAAAGCGGCGCACGGUGAGUAACACGUAGGUAACCUGCCCCCCCAGUCUGGAACAACUAGAGGAAACUCUAGCUAAUGCCGGAUGAGACCACGAUCCCUUCGGGGGGUUGCGGUCAAAGAUGGCCUCUACUUGUAAGCUAUCGCUGAGGGAUGGGCCUGCGGGCCAUUAGCUUGUUGGUGAGGUAACGGCUCACCAAGGCUGUGAUGGCUAGCUGGUCUGAGAGGAUGACCAGCCACACUGGGACUGAGACACGGCCCAGACUCCUACGGGAGGCAGCAGUGGGGAAUAUUGGUCAAUGGAGGCAACCCUGAUCCAGCCAUGCCGCGUGUGUGAAGAAGGCCCUAGGGUUGUAAAGCACUUUCAGUGGGGAGAAAGGUUAUUCACCUAAUACGUGAGUAGAUUGAUGUUACCCACAGAAGAAGCACCGGCUAACUCCGUG